UACGGAGGGUGCGAGCGUUAAUCGGAAUUACUGGGCGUAAAGGGUGCGUAGGUGGUUGAAUAAGUCAUUUGUGAAAUUCCUGGGCUUAACCUGGGGAGGUCAGAUGAGACUGUUUGACUCGAGUAUAGGAGAGGGUAGUGGAAUUUCCGGUGUAGCGGUGAAAUGCGUAGAGAUCGGAAGGAACACCAGUGGCGAAGGCGGCUACCUGGCCUGAUACUGACACUGAGGCACGAAAGCAUGGUUAGCGAACAGG
rnacentral:misc_RNA from 1 species